GACGAACGCUGGCGGCGUGCCUAAUACAUGCAAGUAGAACGCUGAAGGAGGAGCUUGCUCUUCUGGAUGAGUUGCGAACGGGUGAGUAACGCGUAGGUAACCUGCCUGGUAGCGGGGGAUAACUAUUGGAAACGAUAGCUAAUACCGCAUAACAGUAGAUGUUGCAUGACAUUUUCUUAAAAGGUGCAAUUGCACCACUACCAGAUGGACCUGCGUUGUAUUAGCUAGUUGGUGGGGUAACGGCUCACCAAGGCGACGAUACAUAGCCGACCUGAGAGGGGGAUCGGCCACACUGGGACGGAGACACGGCCCAGACGCCUACGGGAGGCAGCAGUAGGGAAUCUUCGGCAAUGGACGGAAGGCGGACCGAGCAACGCCGCGUGAGUGAAGAAGGGUGUCGGAUCGUAAAGAUCUGUUGUAAGAGAAGAACGAGAGUGAGAGUGGAAAGUUCACACUGUGACGGUAGCUUACCAGAAAGGGACGGCUAACUACGUG
rnacentral:rRNA from 1 species